rnacentral:rRNA from 1 species
GAUGAACGCUGGCGGCGUGCCUAAUACAUGCAAGUCGAGCGAACGGACGAGAAGCUUGCUUCUCUGAUGUUAGCGGCGGACGGGAGAGUAACACGUGGAUCACCUACCUAUAAGACAGGGAUCACUUCGGGAAACCGGUGCUAAAACCGGCUGAUCUUUUGAUCCGCAUGGUUCAAAAGUGCAUGACGGUCUUGCUGUCACUUGUAGCUGAUUCCCGGAUGCGUUAGCUAGUUGGUAAGGUAACGGCGUACCAAGGCAACGAUGCAUAGCCGACCUGAGCGGGGGAUCGGAGGGAGUGGGACUGAGACACGGUCCAGACUCCGACGGGAGGCAGCAGGAGGGAAUCUGCGGGGAUGGGCGAAAGCCUGACGGAGCAACGCCGCGUGAGUGAUGAAGGUCUUCGGAUGGUAAAACUGUGUUAUUAGGGAAGAAGAUAUGUGUAAGUAACUGUGCAGAUCUUGACGGUACCUAAUCAGAAAGCCACGGCUAACUACGUG